UACAGAGGUCUCAACCGUUGUUCGGAUUCAUUGGGCGUAAAGGGUGCGUAGGCGGUCGUGCAAGUCGGAUGUGAAAUCUCGGAGCUCAACUCCGAAACUGCACUUGAUACUGCCUUGCUCGAGUACUGGAGAGGAGAUUGGAAUUUACGGUGUAGCAGUGAAAUGCGUAGAUAUCGUAAGGAAGACCAGUGGCGAAGGCGAAUCUCUGGACAGUUACUGACACUGAGGCACGAAGGCCAGGGGAGCAAACGGG
rnacentral:rRNA from 1 species